AGCUCCAAUAGCGUAUAUUAAAGUUGUUGCAGUUAAAAAGCUCGUAGUUGGAUUUCUGGCAGGAGCGACCGGUCACGCACUUUGUGCGUUAACUUGCGUUAUCUCUGGCCAUCCUUGGGGAGAUCCUAUUUGGCAUUAAGUUGUCGGGUAGGGGAUACCCAUCGUUUACUGUGAAAAAAUUAGAGUGUUUAAAGCAGGCUUAUGCCGUUGAAUAUAUUAGCAUGGAAUAAUAAGAUAUGACUUCGGAACUAUUUUGUUGGUUUGCGUUACGAAGUAAUGAUUAAUAGGGAAAGUUGGGGGUAUUCGUAUUCCGUUGUCAGAGGUGAAAUUCUUGGAUUUCCGGAAGACGAACUACUGCGAAAGCAUUUACCAAGGAUGUUUUCA
rnacentral:rRNA from 1 species